rnacentral:lncRNA from 1 species
GGAACCCGGAUCGAGGCCGCGCGCGCCGCGGUCGCGGGGCUGGCGGAGGGGAAGCUGGGUACCCUCUUCUGUGCCUGCGGUUCUCUGACCCACCCACCUGCAGACGCAGGGUGGGGCGCUCACAGUGGGCACGCUGCUCUGGGGCCGGUGGGCGGAUGGUUGGAAGGCGAGGCCGAGGAGCUGGGAGCGCGGUCCACGCGGGGCGUCUCGAGGCGCCCUCGGGCUGAUGUCCUUGGCUCGCCUCCUCGCCCUCGGUCGCCCGGGCUGCGCUCUGCAUCCUAAUCUGGCUCCUUCAGAGCCCCCCUCAGAAACCAAGGGGAGGAAUUCCGCAGUUCACUUCCCACACAACCCAAAUCCUUCAUCUGUCGCCUCGGGAACACCGCAUCCUACACCCCCUGCCGCCAGCUCCUUCGCACGCCAGCCCCGAUUCUUCCCCAGCGGGUUCUGGGCCCUGACGAGGGAACCCCCCUCGCGGGGGGGAGGGAGAAGAGUUGAUUUUAUUAUUAAUAGCUGACGCAGCGCUUGAUAGGUGUCUGCAGGGCAGUCACAGUUCACGCCGCUGGAGCUGCCACACAGCAGCUAGACUUGGGCUAGGAGGUGCUUCGCUGUGGCUUUCAGAUGAAGGCCAUUUCAUAGACUCACUUCCCUCGACAGGAGAAAAGGGGACUUGAAUCCAAAGCUGCUCUUAAACCACAGAUGAUUUGCUCUGCUCGGGAGGACAAAGCGCAGGUCACAGCAAGAUAAAGGGAAUUUUGCCAAUAUAAAGAAGCUACAUUACUUAACAAGGGGAUGGGAAAUUGCAUGGAAUUCAUGAACAAAACAUGAACAUAUUCUCUUCACAAAGAAGAGCAGCUUUCUUCACGGAGUAGGUUGCAGAAUGAAGCAAUUAGUCCACUUUUGUGUUUAACAAUAACGCACCAUCCGCAUGAGCAAAAGCAGAGCAGAAAAAUCACCUCAGUUGUCUCAAGUGGCUGGGCUUCAGGACUUAAGAUAAAUUCCUUCAGCAGAUGCAAAUUACAGUGCAUCACCAGCUGAAAAAAUCAGAUCGCAGCUUACAUGUCCCCUCCUCAGAGAUGUCUUUGCUGUCUAAAGUGGCUACCCAGCCACAGUGGCUCACGUCUGUAAUCCCAGCAUUUUGGGAGGCUGAGGCAGGAGGAUCCCUUGAGCCCAGGAGUUUGAGACCAGCCUGGGCAAUAUAGCGAGACUCCAUCUCUACUAAAAAAAAAAAAGAAAAAAAUUAGCUGGGCGUGGUGGCCUGAACCUUUAGUCCCAGCUACUCAGGAGGCUAAAGAGAGAGGAUCGCUUGAACCCAGGAGGUCAAGACUGCAGUGAUCUGUGAUCACGCCACUGCACUCCAGCCUGAGCAACAACAGAGUGAGACCUUGUCUCAAAAAAAAAAUUAAAUAAUAAAUAAAUUAAAAAGUGGCUACUCUCGGCAAUUCACCUUCCAUCACAUUUUUCAGUUUUCUUUUCUUCUUUUUUUUCCUUUGAGACAGAGUCUCUCUCUGUCACCCAGGCUGGAGGACAGCAGCACAAUCCCAGCUCACCACAACCUCGGCCUCCUGGGUUCAAGCAGUUCUUGUGCCUCCGCCUCC